CUGCGGGUGCUUACCAUGCAAGUUGAACGGGGCAGUUUUCGUAGCAAUAUGAAAGCUGCUUAGUAGCGGACGGGUGAGUAACGCGUGAGUAACCUACCUUUGUGAGGGGGACAACAGCUGGGAACGGCUGCUAAUACCGCAUAAGACCACGAUUCCGAUUGGAGUUGAGGUAAAAGAUUUAUCGCACAAAGAUGGACUCGCGUCCCAUUAGCUAGUUGGUGAGGUAACGGCCCACCAAGGCGACGAUGGGUAGCCGACCUGAGAGGGUGAUCGGCCACACUGGAACUGAGAUACGGUCCAGACUCCUACGGGAGGCAGCAGUGGGGAAUAUUGGGCAAUGGGCGCAAGCCUGACCCAGCAACGCCGCGUGAGGGAAGAAGGUCUUCGGAUUGUAAACCUCUGUCCUUGGGGACGAAAAAAAUGACGGUACCCAAGGAGGAAGCUCCGGCUAACUACGUGCCAGCAGCCGCGGUAAUACGUAGGGAGCGAGCGUUGUCCGGAAUUACUGGGCGUAAAGGGUGCGUAGGCGGCCUAGCAAGUCAGAUGUGAAAUCCCCGGGCUUAACUCGGGGGGUGCAUUUGAAACUGCUUGGCUUGAGUGCAGGAGAGGAAAGCGGAAUUCCUAGUGUAGCGGUGAAAUGCGUAGAUAUUAGGAAGAACACCAGUGGCGAAGGCGGCUUUCUGGACUGCAACUGACGCUGAGGCACGAAAGCGUGGGGAGCAAACAGGAUUAGAUACCCUGGUAGUCCACGCUGUAUACGAUGGAUACUAGGUGUGGAGGACAUACAACCUCUGUGCCGAAGC
rnacentral:rRNA from 1 species